AUUUGAUCGAUCUUCAUUCUGA
rnacentral:miRNA from 1 species